AGUUCUUAUAUAUUGAAUAGCUGCUUUUUUUCCAGCAGUGUUAGUCAGGAAGUGUUUGGAAAAUGGUGGUCAUGCUUCUCUUCCCUCACUUCUCAAAGGCCAGCGACUUUGUCCUAAUCCAUUUGUGUCUUCACCUUUGAUCACUAGGGCCGCCUGCUGAACCUUAGCUGCUCCACAGUGCCUACAUUUGUGCUCUCAAUCACUGCUACUACUCAGGCUCUUGCCUUGAUAGAGCUUUACAAUGCUCCUGAGGGUCGCUAUAAGCAGGAUGUCUACCUGUUGCCCAAGAAGAUGGAUGAGUAUGUGGCCAGCCUACACCUGCCUACCUUUGAUGCCCACUUGACAGAGCUGACAGAUGAACAGGCCAAGUAUCUGGGACUCAACAAGAAUGGGCCCUUCAAGCCUAAUUACUACAGGUAUUAAGUUCCUGUAACUCAAACCAGAAUUUUUAAGGAAUAGAACUCCAAGCCUUUUCUCCACUACUAUACAAGAAAGAAUUCAGCAAGCUGCUUCUCCAAUCAAAGCUGCCUGCCGUGCUCACCCUGUGUGUUAGGUUAUUUAUUUAUUAAAAUCAAGAAUCCUGUGCCUGUAGUGUUGG
rnacentral:lncRNA from 1 species